UCCGGUUUAGCACCGGCAGUCUUCCCAGAGUCCCCGACUUUACUCGCUGGCAACUGGGAACGGGGGUUGCGCUCGUUGCGGGACUUAACCCAACAUCUCACGACACGAGCUGACGACAGCCAUGCAGCACCUGUGCUGGCUUCCUUGCGGAUCAGUCGAUGUUUCCAAAGACUUACUACCAGUAGUUCAAGCCCAGGUAAGGUUCUUCGCGUUGCGUCGAAUUAAACCACAUGCUCCACCGCUUGUGCGGGCCCCCGUCAAUUCCUUUGAGUUUCAGUCUUGCGACCGUACUCCCCAGGCGGAAUGCUUAAAGCGUUAGCGACGGCACCCGGGGACUAUAUAACCCCAGACACCAAGCAUUCAUCGUUUACGGCGUGGACUAC
rnacentral:misc_RNA from 1 species